GCUGUCUGCGGCCGGGGGGCUGCGGCGGCGGGUACGCCUCGGGCGUGCCGUAGAGGUCGGGCUGCUGGCCGCCGUACGGAUCGGCGGGCGGCGC
rnacentral:tRNA from 1 species